rnacentral:lncRNA from 1 species
UUCUUUCUUCUUCUUUUCUCUCAUUCUUUCUCAUCUCUUCCUUCCUUGAUUUCCUUCAAAGCCGAAUCUCUACUGUUAUCUCCUCUCUUCUAUUUUUUUUCUCUUCCUCUCCUCUUCAUCCAUAUCUCUCAUCAUCGAACUUUCAUUUUUUCUUCCUCCCUUGUUUGUUGAAAAGCCGAGGUCACCAUACUUUAAGAGGUUGGAAGUCGAACACCUUUAGAUCUCUUGGACUCAUCUUUAGCUUGUGUUAGGGGUAGGAAAGUAUUGGAAACGUUCUUCAUCGAAUAGAUCUCAUGGUAAGUAUUCGUAAUCCUCUUUCCAUUCGUAUCUUGUGGUUCUGGAAAAAGUCGAGUAAUCCCUAAUCGCUUAGGGAGGCUAUCGUUUUGGACUAAGGGUUUAUUGGGUUUGUUUAUCGUUCUAUUUUGAGUAAGGUGGAAUAAAGGCUGUCGAUCAAGGAGCAGUGGGAAGGAGGACAUCGAAACGACUAGAUCUAGACUUAUUAUUAUUUGCGACAAAAGUAAGCAAUCUAAGGCUGUUAAGGGUGUCGGCCGGUUUUGGUCAGGAAGAUAUCAUUAGUAAUCGUAUGGUUUUGGAUCUAACUUUUUAAGUAAUCAAUUGUAUGAUAGGUACAUGGUAGAUUUUGCCAAGCGAUCAUCGUAAAACAGGUGUGUAAACGACACCCACUAGUAGACUAGAUUAGCAAAAGUCGAAAAGUCGAAAUGUCAAAAAGUCGGCAUUUCGAGAACUUGCGAGCAUGCGAG